CCACCCUCCUCUCUCUCCUCCUGCUCACAUCUCUCCUCCGCAUACGGCGCCCAUCACACCGGCCGUCACGUCCUCCUCCUCGAUCGCCGCCUCCACCACGCGGAUCCGGCCUCAAUCGCAUCCCCCUCGACUGUCUCUUCCAGCGCACGUCUAGGGGCAUGGAGCCCGGAUGCCCUCCCUAGAAUGCCAUCAAGAUCAGCACCACAGAUGCGUGGCUCGAGGCAUGGGGGCCUGAAUCCGGGCAUAGGUGUCCGAGAUUUGGGCAUGGUCGCCCGGAUCCGAUCUUCUCGCUUGAUCUUCCUUUUUUCCUGAUUUUGACAAAGACUCGAUUCAUCCGGAACCAGCUUCUAAGGUAAUGCAGAUGGAUUGAUCUGUUUUGAGCAAUUUUCGAUGAUCAUACUCAGCAAAGAUGUUUCUCUGUGAUUGCAUUUGUUAAUCCCCGCAGAUCCAGUUGAAGUUGCUUGCUGAAGAAAUGCAGGCAAUAAACAAAUUUACGUUUCUUAACUGAAACCUCGUGGUUCCCUUAGCUAUCAGAUCUGGAGUUGAUCAGAUGGAUCUUUCUCAAACCAAAUAUGUCUGUAGCUUUCAGAUUGGUGGCUGUCUUCAUAAAUUUAUAUUUUUAAGACGUUUCCAUGAUUUGAGGCUAUACCACACAGCCUUUAUAUAGAUUUAUUUUUACAAAGUAUGGACCUUUUAAGUGAGAACAAAAAUAUGUUGUUUUCCAGAUUAUAUGGAGCCUGAUCGGUAGUAAACACAUGUAUUUCAUUGUUUAUUUUCAGAUAUCUCUUUCUACAUUCGCCUGCUCCCCUUUGCUUUGAUAGCAGAACAAUUGCAAGCCCAAUAGGUGCUAAUACAUUGUUCGAUAUUCAGGUUAUCAAUUGCUUCAGUGGUCUCUACGUAUUUCAAUAGUUGGAGGCUUGGGCCACAGUUUUACGAUCCUUUUACAACCAUUUCUUCUGAUUUUGGUUGUUAAACAAAUGUUGCUGGACUAUGCUGCUGUUGCCAUGAGUGAUCGGCGUGCAAAUGGUCAUCGCAGUGUCACUCCUUCUGCUCCAUGAUAUUUGCCUUCGCUUUGGCGGCGCAUCGAGGGCUUGGUGAAUUCGUGUUACGGUGAUUCCACACCAGCUGUUGUUGAUCCAUUUUUCGUGUCAUCUGUUGAUCAUGUUGGGGUGUCUUCUGCUGUUAAUUCUUCUACGGAUAUUGAUGCUCGAAGGUAGGGUUCCCCAGUGAUAUUACCUACUUAGCUCAUUCCAAUGAAGUCCAUGAUUUUUUUUAUCUGACCUGCAACAUCAUAAUUACGCACUACUCUUGUGGUGGUGAUGUUACUCUUCGAAUUUCUCUAAAUACGCUCUUAGAAGAUGGUUAGAAUUGUAUUCUCAAAUUUCGGUAAGAACUCUCACUUUUUAUUUUCGUUUUGGGUGAUAGAAUUAAUAAACUUUCAGAUUCGUGCAGUAAUGUAUUCUUGGGUCUUACUUACAUUUUACCUAUUAUUUCUAUUGAAAAUACGAGAUUGAAUGUCAAACAUGCUAGGUCAGUUCAUUUGCAUUAAUUUUGUUUAGCUCUCUGGCUCUAAUUUCUCAUAUGUAGCAAAAAAAAAUUUUGAUAUAUAAGACGAGGCAUGCUCUUGCUUUUCAGGUUUUCAAUGUAUUAUCCAACCAACAUCAGAUACUUUGCGGAGCUCCAAGAGACGGUUCCCGUCCUGCACUACAAUUGUUUAUCGCAUAUAGCAAACAUAAUUUAUGGUUGCCAGUGAAUCCAGAUAACUCUGCUUUGCCAUAUUACUUUUACACUCCACAAUUAUUUGGUUAUUUGAACUACGGAUUUGAAGGGCAAAUUUCUGUAGCAACUUCAUUUAAUUCAAAUAAAGGGCUUAUCAAAACAAGCAGUUAAAUCACACAAGCUUAACCUUAACGCUUGACAGUAGCAUCUCUCUUGAGGAGUGUCAAGAAAGGGCUUAAAGAUGCUUGCAAUAGUUAUUUUGGAUACGUGGAUCUGGUCCUUACGACAUUGUAUUUUUUAAUUUGCACCUCCAAUUUAUAAUAUUGCUGUUUUAAUUUUCAGAUCUUCGCAAACACGAUAUAUACAUGUGAGUUUUGUUUUAUCCUCAACAGACUAGCAACAUCGCUGUUUGGCAACAUGCCACUACUGGCUAAUUUGAAAUAUGGCUUCAGAAUUUAGACAAUUAGAAGCAAAAGUUCUCCUCCAGCAGGUAGUGAAAGGUGAAGUUGGCCAGCCACUCGUGGGAGUCUCCCGGUUAGCCUGUUGGAGUAGAGGUUGAGGAUGGAAAACCAGUCGCCCACAUUGUCUGAUGUGUCGGCGGGAUCUCUCCAGAGUGGUCAUUGUUGCCGAGGUGCUGUAGCGGGAUGCAGCGUGGAGAUUUUGGCGGAGACUUCUGUUUGCAGCGUGCGAAAGAAAAAGAAAAGAAGAGGAAUAGACACAUCGAGCCUUGCCUGUGGGCAUCCUCUAUCUAGAUGAAGCUGGUGUAAAUUGAACAGAUUGCUUAUGCGAUGCCUGAGGAUAUGGAAAAGAUAUGUGGUGGAGAAAAAGAAGAGUGCUUGUACUUCUUCUUGAUCUUUUUUCCCUUCCGGUGAAAUAACCAUGGCAUGCUUCUACGUGAUUUUCACUGAAAUAUUUGAAACGCAGUGCUCAACAAUGCAUCUCUGGUUGUUUGA